rnacentral:lncRNA from 1 species
GUAAGAAUAUUUGUAUUAACAAAUAUGAUCAUAUGUGAACUUGAUUUUUUUUUGUGCCAAUACGCUGCUACACGCCAUAAAUUUACAUUAUAUCCAUAAAGCAGACUGCUUGAGCCUGGAGGCCUGCGGUGCCUCGCAGAGGGCGGCGGCAGAUAUGGUCGGGGGCGGCUGGAGAGAUCGACUAGGGCGACUGGCUGGGUCGACCCGUGUCACUGUGUGACCCAUUGGGUUGCACGAUGCCGGCUCCACUGGACCCGUAUAUGUUUUGAGGCCAACGUACUUCACCCAUUGGCCUUGACUUUUUGGGUCGGGUCAGUGACCCAGCAGGCCGACCCGGCCCAUUCCCAUCUUGACUGAAUAGUACUCCUAACUCCAAUCCAAUCCUUCAGUUACUUGAAAGAUGCAUGAGAAGCUUGUCUUCCCAAUGUGCACAAUUGAAGUGAUGCAAGCAAUUGUUAUACUAGUAUCUCUUUUCCUGCCAGGGUUUGAGGUGUUUCCUUCUCCUCCAUGUUUGUUCUGUGAUAACAACUGGUGGUCCACAACAUUGAUCGCUCUGUAUGCAACUGGAAAUACCAUUUGGACAUGCUUGUGAAGGCCUAGAGCUUCU